CCAAGCCGAGUGUUCAUUAAUAAUUAUAUUGAUAUCAUUACCUGUAUUACCUGAUAUGAUGAUAUUGAACGAACUUGAAAGUCAUUUUUACCAGGAAUGCAUCGCACGCAAGUCCAUAGUUUGAUCAAAUGACCGGCGUGAACACAUUAUCAUAAUAAGUCAGUGCAGAUUAGCAGCUACACGAACUAUGUGAUGAUCGUCGAAAAACCGAUGAUACGUAAAUAAAAAUAAUUCCGGCGAUGAAGUGUCCCAACAGAGAUUGUGGAGCAGAGUGCGAGGGCAAAUAUUGCACAGAAUGUGGCAAACAAUUGGUGCCGAGAAAAGCUGAACGAACAGUAGAAUCUAUUAUAUGCACCGGUAAAGAAGACAACGGUAGACCAUGUGGGAAACAAAUAAAACGUUCUUAUAAGUUUUGUAAUAACUGUGGGAAAAAAAUUGAUCCACAAGAGUUUUGUAGAGGGGACUGUCAAAAAUGUGGCGCAGACUGUCCUGCAUCAGAAAUAAUGUGCAUGAUUUGUUCUGAUAGUGAAUCAUUAGGAGGACCAAAACAUGAAGAAAAUGUAUUGUCGACCCAUACAGAUGGAAAUGACAAACCGCCCGAUCAGCUACUACAAUUAAACAAUCUUCCUAUAUCUGAACAGAACGAAAUUCAAGGUCAUGACAGUAGUCUUAC